rnacentral:lncRNA from 1 species
AAAAAAUGAAAAAGAAAAGGCAAAAUCAAAUCAUACCCCACAAACUUGAGACCUCUUCAUCCCGUUUGAAUUUCGAAAUUCAAAACCGGACCCAUUAUCUCUCUCUCUCUCACAAAAACAAACGAAAUCCUCAAAAUUUGUUCCUUUCCUUUUAAAAGCCCCCCUUAUCUUAACUUCUCAAAAGUAAAAAAAUAAAAAGGUCAUACUCAAAUUAUAUCUUUCCAAUUUCGAAUUCCACGUCUCUCUCUCUAAAAUUUUUCUCUCCUUUUCCAUUCCCCCUCUCUCUCUCUCUACUGAGUAUUUUUCAAAUCGAAACCAGAAGUGGUUUCAGAAUAGCGGUUUCAUUGGUGAGGCUGUUUCUCAACGGUUAGGUGGCGUUUUACCCUGUACAAAUUUAAAAUACAUAAGCACCUGCAACGGCUAGUUUAAAUGCUAGGGUUCUCAUAUUAGGGUUUUUCCUAUUUUCAAACGUGAAAGAAAGCGGAAAGAUCGACUGAUUUCUUGGAUUUCUCAGAGACAGGGCACUUCUCUAAACCCUUCAUAGAUUGGAAGGUUAGGUCUGCUCUUUAGAAGGUUUUACACUUUCAGAUCAAAGGAAAUAUCAGAGAUUCAGGUGUUCCAGGUGCACAAUUUUUUUUGGUGUUUUUGUUCAUUUUUUUGGUGGGGUUUUCCCUUUGGUCUCUUUUUUUUUUUUUGGCUACAAUCUGGGUUUUAUUGACUUGAUCUCAGAAAUGGUAGACUGUUUCAAGAAUUUUCAUGACGUUUUUGUGGGUUUGGAGUCUAAUAAUUUUCACGGGAUUAAACCUGUUCUUGAAAACGUCGCAUCUGUUAUCGAUACUUAGGGUCCAUGGGUACUCUGAAGAACUACCAUGACGAAAGAUUUUUCAGUGUUUUAAAUCUUUUGAUGCAGUUAGUGGCUUAUGGUUAAAUUUUCUUUAAUGAUUUUGCUUCUUUUGCCUGUAAAUGUACAGAAUGACAGAGUUCCAGAGCAAUCAAACGACUUGUGGAACCCUUCUUUAUGACCUCCAGGUCUCUCUCUCUCG